rnacentral:rRNA from 1 species
UACGAAGGGGGCGAGCGUUGUUCGGAUUUACUGGGCGUAAAGGGCGCGCAGGCGGCUCAUUUUGUCAGGCGUGAAAGCCCCGGGCUUAACCUGGGAACUGCGUUUGAUACGGAUGGGCUAGAGUUCGGGAGAGGAGAGUGGAAUUCCCAGUGUAGAGGUGAAAUUCGUAGAUAUUGGGAAGAAUACCGGUGGCGAAGGCGGCAACCUGGUCCUUGACUGACGCUGAGGCGCGAAAGCGUGGGGAGCAAACAGG